UUGGAUUGAUUUGUGUAGAUGUAAUGGGAACUGCUGAAUGGAGAGCCAUGAAGAGUCCAUCUUACUACAAGCGUGGUGAUUAUGUUCCUGGACUCAAGAACGAAACUUUCAAUGGACAUUACAAGAAAGCCCGAAGGUUUUGGUUUUAAAACUGCAGGGAUUUGAUUUUUAAAACUACAGGUUUUGGUUUUGGAAACUGCAGUUUCUGUUUUGAAUACUUUCAGGUUUUGGAUUCACUGGUGUUUCAGGCUGCCUCUAGUUGAUGAGUUUCCUUAUGCUUGUUUGAUUACACUUAUUGAGUUGUGUCUUUUGCAGAAAUUCAGGUAGAGAGUAUUGAUCCUCUAUUUGAGUGGGUAGAAUCAAAGUUUGAGGUCAAACCGAAAGUGUAUUCUAGUAUCUUCGGGGGUA